GGAAAAGCAAAGAAAGUUUGUAAAAAUUAUCCUCAUUAGAUAAGUAACUAAUUUGAUAGUUUUAAUAAAAUUAGAGUUCUUGCUUGACUAUAAAAUAAGUAAAUGAUCUAGUAGAGUUUUAAACAGAAUAACCUUUUGGCCCCUUUUUAAAGAGGCACAGGCUUUUAAUGCCUCUCGCUUCAUGAAAGGCGCUCUUUAAGCACAAAAAGCGAGCGCCUAGCAAAAGGGCCUUGCCUGGAAUGUAUAAACUAGGACUCUUUAUCGCCUCGCUAGGGCGCCCAAGUGCUUUUGACUACACUGUUCACCGCUGCUUAACUACCAUCCCUAGACAUUAAUAUAAGGUAUUCACCCAAUACCUCAUAUUAUCCAUUGAACUCGCAAAAUGUACACGCGAGAGUGAAUAUACAAAUCAUAAUUUUUUACAUUCUUUUGUUUCAUUCCUCUGCCAUAAUUAAAGGAGCUAUAUCUCAUCAAACUUGCAGUAACAAAAGCCUCCACACCUUAUCCAUUACAAUAGCUAACAUAAUUAACUGAUAAAAUAUAUUUCGCAAUUUCUCAUACAUUAGAAACUUAACAGAUAGAGCAUAACUAUUGACAGAAAAAUGCUAAUAAAGCUCCAAUUUGGGUAAAAUCACAUUGUACGUAAAUUUAUUCAACUCUCGACAGCCUCCUUUAAAGAACAAUAAAUGAACUAAGAGAGAGUUGCGAAAAAGCACCUCAAAUCCGCAUUAUACUCUAGAAUGGCACACUGAAACAGUACCAAACUGCUCUCACAAUCGAACCAAAUAAAUUUAAAAUAAGAAAGAGAAAAAAAAAAAAAAAACAGAAGCAUAACUGUAGUAAUGCAAAAACUUCGGAUCAAAAACCGAUAAUCAGAAACAUCUUCUUAUCACAUAAUCAACAAUCGAUAUAAACAAAGAUAUGUUAGUCGAAUUAAAAAAAAUUAUUGAAAAAAAAAAGAAGAAGCACAAACCUCAUUCAACGAAUUAGGGCUUUUGACAACUGCCGCUUUAAUUAUGGCUUAUAAUUUAAUUCCGAAUCAUAAUCUUGGCGCUCUCUCUCAAUCCACCAAAAUCUCACCUUCUAAAGACCUACACACACUAAUUACUCUACCUGAGAGUUUUUUUUUUUUUUUUUUCCUUUGAAAUUGCGGCUUUUGGACGAUAAAAUGAUUUUCUUUUUCUUUUUCUUUUUCUCCCGAGGACGGCUACUUUUUAGGAGGGAUUUAUUUGCAAUUUUGCAUAAGUAUUUCUGUUUCUCUGUUGCUUUUGCCAGAUCAGCCGCCAAAUCAGCUGCCCGCGUGGCCCUUUAGUCUAGUGAAAUUUAGAACCGAAAUCUUUUUCUUUUUUCUUUUUCCUGUUAAUCUUUUGGUAC
rnacentral:lncRNA from 1 species